UACGAAGGGUGCAAACGUUGCUCGGAAUCAUUGGGCGUAAAGCGCACGUAGGCGGUCCAGCAAGUCGGGUGUGAAAGCCCUUGGCUUAACUGAGGAAGUGCAUCCGAAACUGGCAGGCUAGAGUACUAAAGAGGGUCGCGGAAUUCCUGGUGUAGCGGUGAAAUGCGCAGAUAUCAGGAGGAACACCGGUGGCGAAGGCGCCACUCUGGGCCGGUACUGACGCUGAGGAGCGAAAGCGUGGGGAGCGAACAGG
rnacentral:rRNA from 1 species